UAGGGAAUCUUCCACAAUGGACGCAAGUCUGAUGGAGCAACGCCGCGUGAGUGAAGAAGGUUUUCGGACCGUAAAGCUCUGUUGUUGGUGAAGAAGGAUAGAGGUAGUAACUGGCCUUUAUUUGACGGUAAUCAACCAGAAAGUCACGGCUAACUACGUGCCAGCAGCCGCGGUAAUACGUAGGUGGCAAGCGCUGUCCGGAUUUAUUGGGCGUAAAGCGAGCGCAGGCGGAAGAAUAAGUCUGAUGUGAAAGCCCUCGGCUUAACCGAGGAAUUGCAUCGGAAACUGUUUUCUUGAGUGCAGAAGAGGAGAGUAGAACUCCAUGUGUAGCGGUGGAAUGCGUAGAUAUAUGGAAGAAUACCAGUGGCGAAGGCGGCUCUCUGGUCUGCAACUGACGCUGAGGCUCGAAAGCAUGGGUAGCGAACAGGAUUAGAUACCCUGGUAGUCCAUGCCGUAAACGAUGAGUGCUAAGUGUUGGGAGGCUUCCGCCUCUCAGUGCUGCAGCUAACGCAUUAAGCACUCCGCCUGGGGGAGUACGACCGCAAGGUUGAAAC
rnacentral:rRNA from 1 species